ACAGGAAUGCCAUGAUUUCUACUUUUAAUUUUCUUCUUCCUCUGGGUUUCUAUAACUGUGUGUGCAGCCCUCUCUGGAGCACAAUAAUCUCUGGAUUAUAGCCUCCUCAAUAAAGCAGAAACUGUGUUUGAUUCUCCACAGUCUUGUGGCAGGCCAGCGUUGCUGAGUUAACUUCAACCCACCCUCAUCCCCAACCUCAAGACUAGAUUAUCCCCAUGGCAUUGAUUCUUAGGUGCUUUUGACCUCUGGGACCUGACGAGACUGGAAGGGAAGACCCAGUGUCUGCUUUGGGCCGGUGUUCAUUGGGAGUACAGAACUUUAAGGCCCCACCUCUGGCCUUGCUCACAAAGAUGCAACCAAUGGAGCAGAUUCAAGAAUGGCCACAGCAACAAAGCAUGGACUCCCAGGCACAGGGCACUGGCAUGUGUUUUUGUUUUUUGUUUUUUUUGUUUUUUUUUUUUGUCUUUUUGCUCUUUCUUGGGCCGCUUCCGCAGCAUAUGGAGGUUCCCAGGCUAGGGGUCGAAUCGGAGCUGUAGCCACCGUGCUACGCCAGAGCCACAGCAACUCGGGAUCCAAGCUGCGUCUGCAACCUAUACCACAGCUCACAGCAACCCCAGAUCCUUAACCCACUGAGCAAGGCCAGGGAUCGAACCCGCAACCUCAUGGUUCUUAGUCAGAUUCAUUAACCACUGUGCCACAACAGGAACUCCCACUGGCAUGUUUUAAUAGAGAAGUGCUUCUAACCAUACUCAUCACAGUCGGAUAAUCCAUUUGAUAAACCUUCCUUGGAUGAGUGUAAACCAGGAAAAGUCGAUAUCCAAAGACAAGACGUUGAUAAAGAUCAAAAGCAUCUUAAGGCAACUGUUAAUAUUCUCAAGUAUCAAAUCAAAACAUGUUGAAAUUAAAGAUUUUUCAGAGGCAAUGCCAUCUUGAAAUUAGAAUACAAUUAAGUGGGAAAUCAUGAUUUUAUAUAAAAAUUCUCUCCAUAUAGAGAGCUUUUUAGGAACACAUUAUGUGUCAAAAUGAAGCAGUUUUAUUGCCAAAGUCACAGGCUGCCCUUAGAUAGGGUUCCUUUGGACUGUGACAAUAUGAUUUUAAUAGGAUUAGAAAUCAUGGGUGAUACUGGGCCUAAGAGCGUGAUGUCUAUAUGUGGUUAUUUAAAUUUAGAUUAAUUAAAGUUAAAUAAAAUUUAAAACUCAGUUCCUCAUCCUCAAUUGCAUUAGCCACAUUUCAAGUGAUCAAUAGUUACAUGGGGCUAGUGCCUGCCUUAUUAAACAGCACAGAUAGAGGGUAUUUCCAUCACCACAAAAUGUUCUAUCGGUCCACACUAGCUUAGAGCAAAUACAAAUGACAACUUUCUGUACUGAAGAGAAAAUAAUUAGUAGUUAGUAUUUCAAGCUUAGAAAAAAGUUUAUUAGGCAUCAAAGAGAUUUUGGAGACAACACUGAAUAAAUUAAAUAUGAGUGAUAAAGAUCAGAUUUAUCUUAAGAUAGGCAGGCAUUUUUAAAUGUCUUUAAAUGUUACAUGUACAGGUAACCAUAAACUUUUAAAAGCAACUAACGUAAAAAUAAUAAUUUUUUUAAAAAUGAAAAAAAAAAAAACAUAGCUAAGAGUUGACUUCUAGUUUUAAUUGGUUAACAUAACAGCAUAAGUAAAGCCUGCCAUCUUUCAUUGGUCCCCCAGAGUCUCUGUGUGUGGUUGCUCAGGUUGUGCACUGAAUUCUGGGGGCAUCGUUCCCAUCAUCUGCAAUGUGAAUUGCAGGGUAGAGGCUGCACAGAAGCAUACAGUAGCCGGUCCCCUCAUUGCAAUUCUAAUUUAGAACAUUGCUCAACGUCACAAUUUUCUAAAUCCAAAAAUUCCUUUUGACCACAUUAUCCUAGUUUCUGAAAUAGAUAAUUUUGUUUUCAGAGUCGGGCUUUACCACAAGUCCAGCUGCUUUGCUGGAAUCAAGCUGGAAUUUGCAUUUGCUUUGCUGAGAUACAGAGAGGACUUCCAUGUGAGAAUUAUUUUUCAGACACACAUGUCCAGCAGGAAGAAAAGAACUUUCAGUUAAACAUUUUCCCCCAGCCCAAAGUGGAAGUGGGAAACCAUCUAAGUCUGCCUUUGUCCCUGGGUAUCCAAGGAGAGAAUAUUCAGAUGAAAAUGCUUCCAGCCUUUUAUACAUGCACAUUUGUGUGUGUUUAGAAAACAACACUACAAACAAUCACAUAAAUAAUACAGCAGUACAAUGUACGUCUCCCAAAGAACUCAGGAAGCAUAGAAGGCAUUAUCUCAUUCAGGCUGACAGCUGCUUGCUGAUGCAAGGGACUAGUAACCUCCACUGAACUCUUCUGUGCUUUAGCUACCAGGAAGGGAAGGAAUUUAAAUUAUCCACAGAGCCCAUCAGCCCUGUAGCUGAAAUAUGACACUGAGGGUUGAGCUGGCAAAGCUCUUGCAAGCAGGAUUCCUGCUCCGCCUUCUGAGGGCAGUAGUUAUAAGAGGGUUAUAAGACCUGUUUCCAGGAAGUUCGGCCCCCAGCACUCAGAGACUGGUCAGAAAGCACUGGGGAAGCACCUUGGGGACUGGAAGGGCGGGCCAGGAAUGGUCGGGCAGAGCAGGGAGGGGUGUACAAAGUCGCGGGAAGAAUGCCCCAGGCCAGAGCCGCAUGGCCACAGACUUCCCUGUCCCAGAGGGACACCUAAGCCAAGGCCUUUGGGUUCCCAGCCCCAUCUUCACUGUGUUCCGUGACCCGGGUCAACAGCCUUGAGAUGCCACGAGCAGCUAGCACACACACAUUGUGGGGCUCUGCCCCUCCCCCAGUCUGCCACUGACUGUGGAGAUACCCACCCCAGUCCCAUCACCUGUGCUACUGCCCACAGGCAGGACUGGCUUCCAGCACCAGCACUGCAUUCACUUGCAUUAAGGCUUUCGCUGGCUCUUGGAACCUGCCCUGCCACCUAAUAGCAGGCCGGAAGUACCAUGGAAUUAACACCUUGGGGAGCAGCCCUCCACACUUAUAAACACCCCAGCUCUCUGGACACAUAGUGUUUCCCCACUGCCUUCAGCUCCAGUUGCCCACAGUGGUGACUUCCUUGAAAACACACCAUCUAUUGGCUGCCUUACCUUCACUGUCUCACCUCCCCCACCUCCCCUGUCUGUAUUUCCUUUAGCAACUUGUAUCAGGAUCUGCUUCUGGGAGACCCAAAUUAAGAUACUGACCCAGGAGGGAAAUUUUCAAAAUCUUCUAGAGAAGAUUUUCUAAAUUCCUUUAUGUUCCAGCUUUAAUAAAUCAGUGAUAGAGUAUAGGGUACCCAGCUCAGAACUUUCCUACAUGUAGAGAAGCCAACCCUUCCACCUAUGACAGCAAAACUAUGACACAUCUUGCCUGAUGAUAGAGGAGGGAUGUGACAUAGGGUCAGGAAUGGUCAUCAAAAUAUUUAAUACAGGCACAGGCCAAUUAGAACAGAUGCCAGUGGUACAGAUGCCUCUGCCAGGAUCUACCUGCCACCAGUUCAGUCCACAGAGGCAGAGACCUACUAGUUGGCCUCUCUGGGCCCAGAGCUGUCCACAGCCUCCCAAAGGACAGUCAGGGUGGGAGGUAGGAUCGGGAUCCAGGUGACCUCCUGCCCUGACCUCUACCUGGUCUCUGAUUCUUCCUACAGUAGAAGCUGUCCAGCUAUCUCAGUGCCAGGCCUGCUGUGAAAGGCACCUGAGACCAAGGAAGAAACUCUGAACCUGCCACCAAAUGACUUGACCUCGGGCCAUACCUCCACACCUCUCAAAUGAAAAGGUAGUGUUAAGCAGACACCAGCUCCUCCAUGAAGGCUUCCCUGACGGAGACAGUAAGAGAAUGCCUUAGAUAGAAGUUGCUGUGCCCUGAUUGUCCUACUGCUGAGAGUGGGGCCAUGUUGAACAGGCACUUAACCCCUCUUUUCUUGGAGCUUCUCAUCUGGAAAAUGGGGGUAGAAAUUGUCAAUAAGCCAUAGGUUUAUUGAGGAAAAAUAAAUUAAGUCACUUAACACUGUGUCUGAAAAAAAAAAUCUCAUUAUAUUUUAGCUGAUUUUAAUACUGUUAUUAUUCUGCUCCCUCAGAUGUGGUUAGUUGUGCCCUCUGAGAGUCCGUGGCCUCUUGAACACUCCACCACUCUAAAGCUAAUUACAGGGUUGUUGUUACUCAUUUGCAUCCUUCUCCUCCAGGUGGAUGAGAGCAUCGUUCAUCUUUGGGGCCCCAGCACCUGACCCAAUGCUUCAUACAAGGUAAUGGGAUAAUGUUUUGAAAAUUAUUAAGGCAUUUUUCUUCUUUGCUUCUCUGAGUAUAUGGCCUCUGCCCUCACCAGCCGGAAAUAGCCAUCUGCCUGGGGGAGGAUUAGGAUUUGUUACAGAAGUUAAAACAGAUUAAUAUGCACCUGCUGGCAGGCAAAUUAGGAUUAGGCAUCAAGAUAAGAGCCGUACAAGCUAGGCUAUCUCCUCUAGAGAGGAUUUUCCAAAUUCCUUUAUGUUCCAGCUUUAAUAAAUCAAUAGCAGAGUAUAGAGUACCCAGCUCAGAACUUUCCUACAUGUAGAGAAGCCAACCCUUCCACCUGUGACAGCAAAGCCACAAUCCUUGCUGCCUGAUGAUAGAGGAGGGAUUUGACAUAGGGUCAGGAAUGGUCAUCAAAAUAUUUAAUACAGGCACAGGCCAAUUAGAGCAGAUGCCAGUGAUACAAAUGAACCUAUCUACAGAACAGAAACAGACUCACCAGGAUUUCCCAUUGUACCUCAGCGGUAACAAACCCAACUAGUAUCCAUGAGAUAUGAGUUCGAUCCCUGGCCUCCCUAGGUGGGUUAAGGAUCUGGUGUUGCCAUGAGCUGCAGCAUAGGUCGCAGAUGCGGCUUGGAUCCCGCACUGCAGUGGCUGUGGUGUAGGCCAGCAGCUACAGUUGCAAUUUGACCCCUAGCCAGGGAACUUCCAUAUACCACAGGUUCGGCCCUAAAAAGCAAAAGAUAGAAAGAGAGAGAGAGAGAGAGAGAAAGGAAGGAAGGAAGGAAGGAAGGAAGGAAGGAAGGAAGGAAGGAAGGAAGGAAGGAAGAAAGGAAGAAAGAAAGAAAGAAAGAAAGAAAGAAAGAAAGAAAGAAAGAAAGAAAGAAAGAAAGAAAGAAAGAAAAAGAAAGAAAAAGAAAGAG
rnacentral:lncRNA from 1 species